rnacentral:piRNA from 1 species
UCCUGUGAUGCAGGCCUUACUACGAGCAGUU